UGGGGAAUAUUGGACAAUGGGCGAAAGCCUGAUCCAGCCAUGCCGCAUGAGUGAAGAAGGCCUUUGGGUUGUAAAGCUCUUUUAGUGAGGAAGAUAAUGACGGUACUCACAGAAGAAGUCCUGGCUAACUCCGUGCCAGCAGCCGCGGUAAUACGGAGAGGGCUAGCGUUAUUCGGAAUUAUUGGGCGUAAAGGGCGCGUAGGCUGGUUAAUAAAUUAAAAGUGAAAUCCCGAGGCUUAACCUUGGAAUUGCUUUUAAAACUAUUAAUCUAGAGAUUGAAAGAGGAUAGAGGAAUUCCUGAUGUAGAGGUAAAAUUCGUAAAUAUUAGGAGGAACACCAGUGGCGAAGGCGUCUAUCUGGUUCAAAUCUGACGCUGAAGCGCGAAGGCGUGGGGAGCAAACA
rnacentral:rRNA from 1 species